UCCCUGGUGGCUGAGACAGUAAAGAAUCUGCCUGCAAUGCAGGAGAUAUGGGUUCAAUUCCUGGCUUGGGAA
rnacentral:tRNA from 1 species